rnacentral:rRNA from 1 species
AACGAACGCUGGCGGCAUGCCUAACACAUGCAAGUCGAACGCUCGCAAGAGAGUGGCGCACGGGUGAGUAACACGUAGCUAAUCUGCCCUCAAGACAAGGAUAACUGUAGGAAACUACUGCUAAUACUUGAUAAGCUUACGGACUGUAGAGGUCUAUAAGAAAAGAUUUAUCGCUUGAGGAUGAGGCUGCGCGCCAUCAGCUAGUUGGUAAGGUAAUGGCUUACCAAGGCGACGACGGCUAGGGGACCUGAGAGGGUGACCCCCCCACACUGGGACUGAGACACGGCCCAGACUCCCACGGGAGGCAGCAGUGAGGAAUAUUGCUCAAUGGGCGCAAGCCUGAAGCAGCGACGCCGCGUGGAUGAAGAAGGCCUCGGUCGUAAAGCCCUGUCGC